rnacentral:sRNA from 1 species
GAUACCAGCAGGAAGAUAGUCAUAAGCUCGGUGUGCGAGUAAAGUUUUUCCACGGCCUUGGCUCACUAGAUGUUGCUGGGUUAUGAUUAUCCUACAUUGGCAGUAUAUAAACCUGGUGUUGCUAGAAGAGAGCUAGACAACUUUCUUUAUGCCAUCUCGCCAACUUUACCCAUGACUAUUAUCAGUUUACUUACCUCUGUGGGUAUCUGCAGCAUGCCCCGAAAGGAAACACUAAUAGCCUAGAUGAGGCAACAUGGGCUGACUCUCUGCUAAACAAAUACCAUGCACUGUGCACAGCUGCACCAAAUUAUCAAGUUUUAAAAUGAGUAUCCUAUACUCAUAUAUAUGUA